GUCUUGUCUCUCUAUAUAUGUCUAAUGGAAGUAAAUGAAGGAGUAUUAGGUAUAGAUGUCAUGAUGCUUAGAAUGCUCAAUGAUACAUCUAUAGACAGAUAAAUAAAGUAUAGAGUAUAUAGUUAUAAGAAGGUAAAGGAAUGUAGAUGGUAUAGUAAUAGAGAUAUACUGCAUAUCAAAUUUGCAGUGACAGAUAGUAAUAACCAGUCUCUCCCUUCCUA